rnacentral:rRNA from 1 species
CGGCGAGUGAAGCGGCAACAGCUCAAAUUUGAAAUCUGGCCUCGGCCCGAGUUGUAAUUUGCAGAGGAUGCUUCUGGCGCGGUGCCUUCCGAGUUCCCUGGAACGGGACGCCACAGAGGGUGAGAGCCCCGUAUGGUCGGACACCAAGCCUGUGUGAAGCUCCUUCGACGAGUCGAGUAGUUUGGGAAUGCUGCUCUAAAUGGGAGGUAAAUCUCUUCUAAAGCUAAAUACCGGCCAGAGACCGAUAGCGCACAAGUAGAGUGAUCGAAAGAUGAAAAGCACCUUGAAAAGGGGGUUAAAUAGUACGUGAAAUUGUUGAAAGGGAAGCACUUGUGACCAGACUUGGGCCGGGCGGCUCAUCAGGGGUUCUCCCCUGUGCACUCCGCCCGGCACAGGCCAGCAUCGGUUCUCGUGGGGGGACAAGACCGUCAGGAACGUAGCACCCUCCGGGGUGUGUUAUAGCCUGGCGGACGAUACCCCCGUGGGGACCGAGGUUCGCGCUCCGCAAGGAUGCUUUUCUGCCGCCCUCCCCGCCAAA